rnacentral:rRNA from 1 species
GAUGAACGCUGGCGGCGUGCUUAACACAUGCAAGUCGAACGAUGAAGCCCAGCUUGCUGGGUGGAUUAGUGGCGAACGGGUGAGUGACACGUGAGUAACCUGCCCUUAACUCUGGGAUAAGCCUGGGAAACUGGGUCUAAUACCGGAUAGGAGCGCCUACCGCAUGGUGGGUGUUGGAAAGAUUUAUCGGUUUUGGAUGGACUCGCGGCCUAUCAGCUUGUUGGUGAGGUAAUGGCUCACCAAGGCGACGACGGGUAGCCGGCCUGAGAGGGUGACCGGCCACACUGGGACUGAGACACGGCCCAGACUCCUACGGGAGGCAGCAGUGGGGAAUAUUGCACAAUGGGCGAAAGCCUGAUGCAGCGACGCCGCGUGAGGGAUGACGGCCUUCGGGUUGUAAACCUCUUUCAGUAGGGAAGAAGCGAAAGUGACGGUACCUGCAGAAGAAGCACCGGCUAACUACGUG